GGGAAUGUGGCUUAGUGGUAGAGUGCUUGUCUAGCAUACAUGAAGUCCUGGGUUUGAUUCCUCAGUACCA
rnacentral:tRNA from 1 species